GGAUGGACUCGCGGCCUAUCAGCUUGUUGGUGGGGUAAUGGCUUACCAAGGCGACGACGGGUAGCCGGCCUGAGAGGGUGACCGGCCACACUGGGACUGAGACACGGCCCAGACUCCUACGGGAGGCAGCAGUGGGGAAUAUUGCACAAUGGGCGCAAGCCUGAUGCAGCGACGCCGCGUGAGGGAUGACGG
rnacentral:rRNA from 1 species